rnacentral:rRNA from 1 species
GCAUGGUUGUCGUCAGCUCGUGUCGUGAGAUGUUCGGGUUAAGUCCCGCAACGAGCGCAACCCUCGACCUUAGUUGCCAGCAUUCAGUUGGGCACUCUAAGGUGACUGCCGGCUAAAAGUCGGAGGAAGGUGGGGAUGACGUCAAAUCAUCAUGCCCCUUAUGACCUGGGCUACACGCGUGCUACAAUGGGCGGUACAAAGGGUCGCGAACCCGCGAGGGGGAGCCAAUCCCAAAAAAGCCGCUCUCAGUUCGGAUUGCAGGCUGCAACUCGCCUGCAUGAAGCCGGAAUCGCUAGUAAUCGCGGAUCAGCAUGCCGCGGUGAAUACGUUCCCGGGCCUU